rnacentral:rRNA from 1 species
AGUGAACGCUGGCGGUAGGCCUAACACAUGCGAGUCGAACGGCAGCACAGUAAGAGCUUGCUCUUACGGGUGGCGAGUGGCGGACGGGUGAGGAAUACAUCGGAAUCUACUUUUUCGUGGGGGAUAACGUAGGGAAACUUACGCUAAUACCGCAUACGACCUACGGGUGAAAGCAGGGGAUCUUCGGACCUUGCGCGAUUGAAUGAGCCGAUGUCGGAUUAGCUAGUUGGCGGGGUAAAGGCCCACCAAGGCGACGAUCCGUAGCUGGUCUGAGAGGAUGAUCAGCCACACUGGAACUGAGACACGGUCCAGACUCCUACGGGAGGCAGCAGUGGGGAAUAUUGGACAAUGGGCGCAAGCCUGAUCCAGGCAUACCGCGUGGGUGAAGAAGGCCUUCGGGUUGUAAAGCCCUUUUGUUGGGAAAGAAAAGCAGCAGGUUAAUACCCCGCUGUUCUGACGGUACCCAAAGAAUAAGCACCGGCUAACUUCGUG